AAGGGGGGACAGAAAUCAACAAGUGCUGCUAAUACUUGUGCCCCGAGGUUAAACUCCUCGGCUUCCUUA
rnacentral:tRNA from 1 species